rnacentral:rRNA from 1 species
UAACGCGAAGAACCUUACCAAGGCUUGACAUACACCGGAAAGCAUCAGAGAUGGUGCCCCCCUUGUGGUCGGUGUACAGGUGGUGCAUGGCUGUCGUCAGCUCGUGUCGUGAGAUGUUGGGUUAAGUCCCGCAACGAGCGCAACCCUUGUUCUGUGUUGCCAGCAUGCCCUUCGGGGUGAUGGGGACUCACAGGAGACCGCCGGGGUCAACUCGGAGGAAGGUGGGGACGACGUCAAGUCAUCAUGCCCCUUAUGUCUUGGGCUGCACACGUGCUACAAUGGCCGGUACAAAGAGCUGCGAUACCGUGAGGUGGAGCGAAUCUCAAAAAGCCGGUCUCAGUUCGGAUUGGGGUCUGCAACUCGACCCCAUGAAGUCGGAGUUGCUAGUAAUCGCAGAUCAGCAUUGCUGCGGUGAAUACGUUCCCGGGUCUUGUACACACCGA